rnacentral:rRNA from 1 species
GAUGAACGCUGACAGAAUGCUUAACACAUGCAAGUCUUUGGCGAAGCUGUGCUUGCACAGUCUAGCCAAGGCGGACGGGUGAGUAACGCGUAAGGAACUUGCCCUGCAGUCAGGGAUAACAGACGGAAACGACUGAUAAGACCUGGUAAAGUCAGGCGGACUCACGUCCAGCCUGAUGAAAAGAGAUGCUGCAGGAGAGCCUUGCGUCCUAUUAGCUUGUUGGUGGGGUAACGGCCCACCAAGGCGAUGAUAGGUAGCCGGCCUGAGAGGGUGGACGGCCACAAGGGGACUGAGAUACGGCCCUUACUCCUACGGGAGGCAGCAGUGGGGAAUAUUGGACAAUGGGGGCAACCCUGAUCCAGCAAUUCUGUGUGCACGAUGAAGGUUUUCGGAUUGUAAAGUGCUUUCAGCAGGGAAGAAAAAAAUGACGGUACCUGCAGAAGAAGCGACGGCUAAAUACGUG